ACGAACGCUGGCGGCUGCUUAACACAUGCAAGUCGAACGGAGUGGCGAACGGGUGAGUAACGCGUGAGCAACCUGCCUAUGACAGUGGGAUAGCCUCGGGAAACCGGGAUUAAUACCGCAUAGUCAUAGAUGGGCUCGCGUCUGCUUAGAUAGUUGGUGAGAUAACAGCUCCCCAAGGCAACGAUCAGUAGACGGUAUGAGAGAAUGAACGGCCACAUGUGAACUGGUACACGGUCCAAACUCCUACGGGAGGCAGCAGUGGGGAAUAUUGCACAAUGGGGGAAACCCUGAUGCAGCGACGCAGCGUGAACGAAGAAGGUAUUCGUAACGUAAAGUUCUGUCCUAUGGGAAGCAGUACCAUAGAAGAAAGCUCCGGCUAAAUACGUGCCAGCAGCCGCGGUAAUAC
rnacentral:rRNA from 1 species